rnacentral:rRNA from 1 species
CCUACGGGAGGCUGCAGUGGGGAAUAUUGGACAAUGGGGGCAACCCUGAUCCAGCCAUGCCGCGUGUGUGAAGAAGGCCCUCGGGUUGUAAAGCACUUUCAGUGAGGAAGAACGCCUGGUGGUUAAUACCCAUCAGGAAAGACAUCACUCACAGAAGAAGCACCGUCUAACUCCGUGCCAGCAGCCGCGGUAAUACGGAGGGUGCGAGCGUUAAUCGGAAUUACUGGGCGUAAAGCGCGCGUAGGUGGCUUGAUAAGCCGGUUGUGAAAGCCCCGGGCUCAACCUGGGAACGGCAUCCGGAACUGUCAAGCUAGAGUGCAGGAGAGGAAGGUAGAAUUCCCGGUGUAGCGGUGAAAUGCGUAGAGAUCGGGAGGAAUACCAGUGGCGAAGGCGGCCUUCUGGACUGACACUGACACUGAGGUGCGAAAGCGUGGGUAGCAAACAGGAUUAGAUACCCGUGUAGUC